GAACGCUGGCGGCGUGCCUAACACAUGCAAGUCGAGCGGAGAUAAGAGGAGUACUUGUACAAAUUUUAUUUCAGCGGCGGACGGGUGAGUAACACGUGAGUAACCUGCCUUUCACUGGGGAAUAACAUCGAGAGAUCGGUGCUAAUACCGCAUAACGUCAUGAGACCGCAUGGUUUUAUGACCAAAGGAGUAAUCCGGUGAAAGAUGGACUCGCGUCCGAUUAGAUAGUUGGUGAGGUAAUGGCCCACCAAGUCUGCGAUCGGUAGCCGAACUGAGAGGUUGAUCGGCCACAUUGGGACUGAGACACGGCCCAGACUCCUACGGGAGGCAGCAGUAAGGAAUAUAGGUCAAUGG
rnacentral:rRNA from 1 species